rnacentral:rRNA from 1 species
UACGAAGGGUGCAACCGUUGCUCGGAAUUAUUGGGCGUAAAGAGCUCGUAGGCGGCUUGUCGCGUCGGCUGUGAAAUCCCGUGGCUCAACUGCGGGCUUGCAGCCGAUACGGGCAGGCUAGAGUUCGGUAGGGGAGACUGGAAUUCCUGGUGUAGCGGUGAAAUGCGCAGAUAUCAGGAGGAACACCGGUGGCGAAGGCGGGUCUCUGGACAUUUCCUGACGCUGAGGCACGAAAGCCAGGGGAGCAAACGGG